rnacentral:rRNA from 1 species
UACGGAGGGUGCAAGCGUUAUCCGGAUUCACUGGGUUUAAAGGGUGCGUAGGUGGGUUGGUAAGUCAGUGGUGAAAUCCUCGAGCUUAACUUGGGAACUGCCAUUGAUACUAUCAAUCUUGAAUAUUGUGGAGGUCAGCGGAAUAUGUCAUGUAGCGGUGAAAUGCCUAGAUAUGACAUAGAACACCAAUUGCGAAGGCAGCUGACUACUCAUAUAUUGACACUGAGGCACGAAAGCGUGGGGAUCAAACAGG